GCCACCAGAGCUCAGGGGUAUAGAGCACUUGUCUUGUAAACCAGGCGUCGUGAGUUCAAUCCUCACUGGUGGCU